rnacentral:rRNA from 1 species
UACGUAGGGGGCUAGCGUUGCUCGGAAUUACUGGGCGUAAAGCGCACGUAGGCGGAUUGUUAAGUCGGGGGUGAAAUCCUGGAGCUCAACUCCAGAACUGCCUUCGAUACUGGCGAUCUCGAGUCCGGGAGAGGUGAGUGGAACUGCGAGUGUAGAGGUGAAAUUCGUGGAUAUUCGCAAGAACACCAGUGGCGAAGGCGGCUCACUGGCCCGGUACUGACGCUGAGGUGCGAAAGCGUGGGGAGCAAACAGG